GGAGUCUGGGCCGUGUCUCAGUCCCAAUGUGGCCGUCCAACCUCUCAGUCCGGCUACUGAUCGUUGCCUUGGUGAGCCGUUACCUCACCAACCAGCUAAUCAGACGCGAGCUCAUCCUUAAGCGAUAAAUCUUUUAUAGCUGUAUCAUGCGAUACUACUAUCUUAUGCGGUAUUAACAGUCAUUUCUAACUGGUAUCCCCCUCUUAAGGGCAGAUUGCUCACGUGUUACUCACCCGUCCGCCACUAGGUUAUCAAAAGCAAGCUCUCGAUAACUCCGUUCGACUUGCAUGUGUUAAGCGUGCCGCCAGCGUGUCUGAGCCACUGAUCAAACUACU
rnacentral:rRNA from 1 species